rnacentral:rRNA from 1 species
UGGGGAAUUUUGGACAAUGGGCGAAAGCCUGAUCCAGCAAUGCCGCGUGUGUGAAGAAGGCCUUCGGGUUGUAAAGCACUUUUGUCCGGAAAGAAAUCCUUGGCUCUAAUACAGUCGGGGGGAUGACGGUACCGGAAGAAUAAGCACCGGCUAACUACGUGCCAGCAGCCGCGGUAAUACGUAGGGUGCAAGCGUUAAUCGGAAUUACUGGGCGUAAAGCGUGCGCAGGCGGUUUGCUAAGACCGAUGUGAAAUCCCGGGCUCAACCUGGGAACUGCAUUGGUGACUGGCAGGCUAGAGUAUGGCAGAGGGGGUAGAAUUCCACGUGUAGCAGUGAAAUGCGUAGAGAUGUGGAGGAAUACCGAUGGCGAAGGCAGCCCCCUGGGCCAAUACUGACGCUCAUGCACGAAAGCGUGGGGAGCAAACAGGAUUAGAUACCCUGGUAGUCCACGCCCUAAACGAUGUCAACUAGUUGUUGGGGAUUCAUUUCCUUAGUAACGUAGCUAACGCGUGAAGUUGACCGCCUGGGGGAGUACGGUCGCAAGAUUCAAAACUUAAAUGGAAUUGACGGGGUCAUAGCUGUUUCCU